rnacentral:rRNA from 1 species
UGGGGAAUAUUGCACAAUGGGCGAAAGCCUGAUGCAGCGACGCCGCGUGAGGGAUGACGGCCUUCGGGUUGUAAACCUCUUUCAGUAGGGACGAAGCGCAAGUGACGGUACCUGCAGAAGAAGCACCGGCUAACUACGUGCCAGCAGCCGCGGUAAUACGUGGGUGCGAGCGUUGUCCGGAAUUACUGGGCGUAAAGAGCUCGUAGGCGGUUUGUCACGUCGUCUGUGAAAUCCUAGGGCUUAACCCUGGACGUGCAGGCGAUACGGGCUGACUUGAGUACUACAGGGGAGACUGGAAUUUCUGGUGUAGCGGUGGAAUGCACAGAUAUCAGGAAGAACACCGAUGGCGAAGGCAGGUCUCUGGGUAGUAACUGACGCUGAGGAGCGAAAGCAUGGGUAGCGAACAGG